UGAAUACGAGACGCUAAGGCGUCGAAGUAGUGUAUGUCAUACUUCCAAGAAAAGCUUGCACUGUCAUAGAUAAAAAACGCCUGUACCAUAACCGACACAGGUGGGUAGGUAGAGUAUACUAAGGGGCGCGAGAUAACUCUCUCUAAGGAACUCGGCAAAAUAACUCCGUAACUUCGGGAGAAGGAGUGCCUUAUUCUUAAGGUUGCAAUAACAAGGUCCAAGCAACUGUUUAUCAAAAACACAGGUCUCCGCUAAGUCGUAAGACGAUGUAUGGGGGCUGACGCCUGCCCAGUGCCAGAAGGUUAAAGAAGCUGGUUAGCAUUGCGAAGCUAGUAACUGAAGCCCUGGUGAACGGCGGCCGUAACAAUAACGGUCCUAAGGUAGCGAAAUUCCUUGUCGGGUAAGUUCCGACCCGCACGAAAGGCGUAAUGAUUUGGAUACUGUCUCGGAGAGGGGCUCGGUGAAAUAGACUUGUCUGUGAAGAUGCGGACUACCUGCACCAGGACAGAAAGACCCUAUGAAGCUUUACUGUAACUUGAAAUUGAAAUUGGACUUUAUUCGCGCAGUAUAGGUGGGAGGCGUUGAUUAUAAUCUUGCGGGAUUAUUGGAGCCAUUAGUGAGAUACCACUCUUGUAAUGUUAGAUUUCUAACUUUGAAUCAUUAUCUGGUCAAAGAACAGUUUCAGGCGGGCAGUUUGACUGGGGCGGUCGCCUCCCAAACGGUAACGGAGGCGUACAAAGGUUUCCUCUGAACGGUUAGAAAUCGUAUCUAGAGUGUAAAGGCAUAAGGAAGCUUGACUGUGAGACCUACAAGUCGAGCAGGGACGAAAGUCGGUCUUAGUGAUCUGACGGUACUGAGUGGAAAGGCCGUCACUCAACGGAUAAAAGUUACUCUAGGAUAACAGGCUGAUCUCCCCCAAGAGUUCACAUCGACGGGGAGGUUUGGCACCUCGAUGUCGGCUCAUCGCAUCCUGGGGCGGUAGUACGUCCCAAGGGUUGGGCUGUUCGCCCAUGAAAGCGGUACGCGAGCUGGGUUCAGAACGUCGUGAGACAGUUCGGUCCAUAUCCGGUGUAGGCGUUAGAAUAUUGAGAGGAGCCUUCUUUAGUACGAGAGGACCGAGAAGGACAUACCUCUGGUGUACCAGUUAUCGUGCCAACGGUAGACGCUGGGUAGCUAUGUAUGGAGUGGAUAACCGCUGAAAGCAUCUAAGUGGGAAGCCCACCUCAAGAUAAGUAUUCUCAC
rnacentral:rRNA from 1 species